UACGGGGGGGGCAAGCGUUGUUCGGAAUUACUGGGCGUAAAGGGCUCGUAGGCGGCCAACUAAGUCAGAUGUGAAAUCCCUCGGCUUAACCGGGGAACUGCGUCUGAUACUGGAUGGCUUGAGUUUGGGAGAGGGAUGCGGAAUUCCAGGUGUAGCGGUGAAAUGCGUAGAUAUCUGGAGGAACACCGGUGGCGAAGGCGGCAUCCUGGACCAACACUGACGCUGAGUGAGCGAAAGCUAGGGGAGCAAACAGG
rnacentral:rRNA from 1 species